rnacentral:rRNA from 1 species
GGUAAGGCCCUUUCGGGGGUACACGAGCGGCGAACGGGUGAGUAACACGUGGGUGACCUGCCCUCAGCUCUGGGAUAAGCCCGGGAAACUGGGUCUAAUACCGGAUAUGACCUCGCGAUGCAUGUCGUGGGGUGGAAAGCCUUGUGCGGCUGAGGAUGGGCCCGCGGCCUAUCAGCUUGUUGGUGGGGUGAUGGCCUACCAAGGCGACGACGGGUAGCCGGCCUGAGAGGGCGACCGGCCACACUGGGACUGAGACACGGCCCAGACUCCUACGGGAGGCAGCAGUGGGGAAUCUUGCGCAAUGGGCGAAAGCCUGACGCAGCGACGCCGCGUGAGGGAUGACGGCCUUCGGGUUGUAAACCUCUUUCAGCUCCGACGAAGCGAGAGUGACGGUAGGAGCAGAAGAAGCACCGGCCAACUACGUGCCAGCAGCCGCGGUAUACGUAGGGUGCAAGCGUUGUCCGGAAUUAUUGGGCGUAAGAGCUCGUAGGCGGUCUGUCGCGUCGGCUGUGAAAACUCGGGGCUCAACUCCGAGCUUGCAGUCGAUACGGGCAGACUAGAGUUCUGCAGGGGAGACUGGAAUUCCUGGUGUAGCGGUGAAAUGCGCAGAUAUCAGGAGGAACACCGGUGGCGAACGCGGGUCUCUGGGCCGAUACUGACGCUGAGGAGCGAAAGCGUGCGGAGCGAACAGGAUUAGAUACCCUGGUAGUCCACGCCGUAAACGUUGGUCGCUACGUGUGAGAAUCCUUUCCACGGGUUCCGUGCCGCAACUAACGCAUUACGCGCCCCGCCUUGGGAGUACGGCCGCAGGGCUCAAACUCAUAUGAAUUGACGGGG